rnacentral:rRNA from 1 species
UUUAUUGGAGAGUUUGAUCCUGGCUCAGGAUGAACGCUGGCGGCGUGCCUAAUACAUGCAAGUCGAGCGAAUGGAUUAAGAGCUUGCUCUUAUGAAGUUAGCGGCGGACGGGUGAGUAACACGUGGGUAACCUGCCCAUAAGACUGGGAUAACUCCGGGAAACCGGGGCUAAUACCGGAUAACAUUUUGAACCGCAUGGUUCGAAAUUGAAAGGUGGCUUCGGCUGCCACUUAUGGAUGGACCCGCGUCGCAUUAGCUAGUUGGUGAGGUAACGGCUCACCAAGGCAAUGAUGCGUAGCCGACCUGAGAGGGUGAUCGGCCACACUGGGACUGAGACACGGCCCAGACUCCUACGGGAGGCAGCAGUAGGGAAUCUUCCGCAAUGGACGAAAGUCUGACGGAGCAACGCCGCGUGAGUGAUGAAGGCUUUCGGGUCGUAAAACUCUGUUGUUAGGGAAGAACAAGUGCUAGUUGAA